rnacentral:rRNA from 1 species
UACAGAGGGGGCAAGCGUUGUUCGGAAUUACUGGGCGUAAAGGGCGCGUAGGCGGCCUGCUAAGUCGAACGUGAAAUCCCUGGGCUCAACCCAGGAACUGCGUCCGAUACUGGUUUGGCUUGAAUCCGGGAGAGGGACGUGGAAUUCCAGGUGUAGCGGUGAAAAUGCGUAGAUAUCUGGAGGAACACCGGUGGCGAAGGCGACGCCUGGACCGGCAU